UGCCUAGCAACUCCUAUCCCUACCUACUCGUGGUACUGGCCGGAGUACGAGUAACCUUGGGUAAGAUCGGGAAACCAACGCCGGUUGGAACGUAUGCUGAUAGGGAAGG
rnacentral:ribozyme from 1 species